ACUCUUUUGUAUCCGUGGUGAAAUUUCGUCAACAAUCAGUCUAUUAGGAUUGAUGGAAUUUCUCAAAUAAGUGAAGUG
rnacentral:pre_miRNA from 1 species